rnacentral:rRNA from 1 species
UAAUAGCCGCAGAAAUUUAACUGUGCUAAGGUAGCAUAAUCAUUAGCCCUUUAAUUGGGGGCUCGCAUGAAAGACCUAACAUUUUAAUCUCUCUCUCAACGUCCCCAUUAAACUUAUAUUAAAUAUAAAAAUAUAUUUAUUAGUAUAAAAGACGACAAGACCCUGUCGAACUUCCCUUUAGUUCAGCUGGGGCAGCUAUUUAAUAAUUAUUUUAACCCCCCCCCCCCCANAUAAACACCUACUAAAAGUAAACCAAACAAGUUACCACAGGGAUAACAGCGUAAUUUUAUCCCCAAGCUCUUAUAAACUAUAAAGAUUACGACCUCGAUGUUGAAUUAAUNUCCCUUUGCCGCGCAAAAGCAACAAAAGGAGGUC